rnacentral:rRNA from 1 species
AGUCGAACGAUGAAGCCCUUCGGGGUGGAUUAGUGGCGAACGGGUGAGUAACACGUGGGCAAUCUGCCCUUCACUCUGGGACAAGCCCUGGAAACGGGGUCUAAUACCGGAUAUUACUCCUGCCUGCAUGGGCGGGGGUUGAAAGCUCCGGCGGUGAAGGAUGAGCCCGCGGCCUAUCAGCUUGUUGGUGGGGUAAUGGCCCACCAAGGCGACGACGGGUAGCCGGCCUGAGAGGGCGACCGGCCACACUGGGACUGAGACACGGCCCAGACUCCUACGGGAGGCAGCAGUGGGGAAUAUUGCACAAUGGGCGAAAGCCUGAUGCAGCGACGCCGCGUGAGGGAUGACGGCCUUCGGGUUGUAAACCUCUUUCAGCAGGGAAGAAGCGAAAGUGACGGUACCUGCAGAAGAAGCGCCGGCUAACUACGUGCCAGCAGCCGCGGUAAUACGUAGGGCGCAAGCGUUGUCCGGAAUUAUUGGGCGUAAAGAGCUCGUAGGCGGCUUGUCACGUCGGAUGUGAAAGCCCGAGGCUUAACCUCGGGUCUGCAUUCGAUACGGGCUAGCUAGAGUGUGGUAGGGGAGAUCGGAAUUCCUGGUGUAGCGGUGAAAUGCGCAGAUAUCAGGAGGAACACCGGUGGCGAAGGCGGAUCUCUGGGCCAUUACUGACGCUGAGGAGCGAAAGCGUGGGGAGCGAACAGGAUUAGAUACCCUGGUAGUCCACGCCGUAAACGUUGGGAACUAGGUGUUGGCGACAUUCCACGUCGUCGGUGCCGCAGCUAACGCAUUAAGUUCCCCGCCUGGGGAGUACGGCCGCAAGGCUAAAACUCAAAGAAAAUNUGUGAACG